UACGAAGGGGGCUAGCGUUGCUCGGAAUUACUGGGCGUAAAGCGCACGUAGGCGGUCUUUUAAGUCGGGGGUGAAAUCCUGGAGCUCAACUCCAGAACUGCCUUCGAUACUGGAAGACUUGAGUCCGGGAGAGGUGAGUGGAACUGCGAGUGUAGAGGUGAAAUUCGUAGAUAUUCGCAAGAACACCAGUGGCGAAGGCGGCUCACUGGCCCGGUACUGACGCUGAGGAGCGAAAGUGUGGGGAGCGAACAGG
rnacentral:rRNA from 1 species